AUUGGAGGGCAAGUCUGGUGCCAGCAGCCGCGGUAAUUCCAGCUCCAAUAGCGUAUAUUAAAGUUGCUGCGGUUAAACCGCUCGUAGUUGGAUUGCGGUCGACGACGACGGUCGUCCUAAGCAGGAGUCGUUCCGUCGCUCGUCACCUGUUCAAUCAAGAUUGCCUUGGAUGCUCUUGAUCGGGUGUCCUUGGUAACUUGAAAGUUUACUUUGAGAAAAUGGAAGCGCUCAAGGCAGGCCGGAGAGCUUGAACAGUGGUGCAUGGAAUAAUGAAAGAUGGCCUUGGUGCUACUUUGUUGGUUUGCGGUGUCAAGGCAAUGAUUAAAAGAGACAGACGGGGACAUUCGUAUUGCUGCGUUAGAGGUGAAAUUCUUGGAUCGCAGCAAGACGA
rnacentral:rRNA from 1 species